UUUCUUGACACUGAGAGGGGAGAGAAUGAGUGAGAGAAAGAAAGAGAGAGAGAGAGAGAGAGAGAGAGAGAGAGAGAGAAGCCUCCCCUCCUUCCCUCCCUCUCUCCUCCCCCUCUCCAAUCCUCCCUCCUCAUCUACAGCCUUUGCAAAGUUUCUCUCUCUCUCUCUCUCUCUCUCUCUCUCUCACACACACACACACACACACAGAGCGGAAUCCCCCUCCAGUCCCAAGAAA